rnacentral:rRNA from 1 species
GAGACUGCCGGUGUUAAACCGGAGGAAGGUGGGAUGACGUCAAGUCCUCAUGGCCUUUAUGCUUAGGGCUACACACGUGCUACGAAUGGGUGGUACAAAGAGAAGCCAACUCGCGAGAGCGCGCCAAUCGUCAAAAAGCCAUCCUCAGUUCGGAUUGGAGUCUGCAACUCGACUCCAUGAAGUUGGAAUCGCUAGUAAUCGCGGAUCAGCAUGCCGCGGUGAAUACGUUCCCGGGCCUU